UACGUAGGGAGCAAGCGUUGUUCGGAUUUACUGGGCGUAAAGGGCGCGUAGGCGGCAGAUCAAGUCAGCUGUGAAAUCUCCGAGCUUAACUCGGAACUGUCAGCUGAUACUGUUUUGCUAGAGUGCGGAAGGGGCAAUCGGAAUUCUUGGUGUAGCGGUGAAAUGCGUAGAUAUCAAGAGGAACACCUGAGGUGAAGACGGGUUGCUGGGCCGACACUGACACUGAGGCGCGACAGCGUGGGGAGCAAACAGG
rnacentral:rRNA from 1 species